rnacentral:misc_RNA from 1 species
AUGACAGAUCACUUUUUGCAGUGUUGUGAGACUUCAUUUUAUUGCAUCCUUUACAUGCCUGUAAAUAUAACAGACAAUGACCAUGUGAUGGAUGUGUGAGCCUCAAUACAAAAAUAUGUUAACUGUAGUUAAAAUCAAGAGAUACUAUUUUGUAAUGGGUAACCCAGUUGAAUGUGUAGCAUUUGCAAUGAGCAUGAGACAUAGGAAUGCCCUAAUAGUUGGAUCACGGUGCAGUUAUUAAACUAGACAUGAAGCAAGCUAAUAUAUUGUUAAUAUUCUAUAAUAUUCCAGAAAUAUGCCAAACACAAGUUUAUUACUUAAUCAAAAGUGCUAAGUAUCAUCUCCUGCAAAGUUAUUAUGGUUGCCUGCCUUUUUUUUUUUGAGAGACGCCUCAUAUUACUUGCACAUAUAAUAUUGCCUAACUAAAGCACUUUGUUUCCCCAAUAUAAUCUCUGAUUAUAUUGAAGUGA